rnacentral:misc_RNA from 1 species
CCAAUAGCGUAUAUUAAAGUUGUUGCAGUUAAAAAGCUCGUAGUUGAAUUUCGGGAUUGACGUGAUGGUCAUGCCUUAAGGGGUAUGAACUGUUGCUGUUGAUUUCUCACCUUCUGGAGAAACUUGAUGUCCUUUAUUGGGUGUCUUGCGGAUCCAGGACCUUUACCUUGAAAAAAUUAGAGUGUUUAAAGCAGGCAUUUUUGCUCGAAUACAUUAGCAUGGAAUAAUAGAAUAGGACGGCAUGGUUCUAUUUUGUUGGUUUCUAGGAUCACCGUAAUGAUUAAUAGGGAUAGUUGGGGGCAUUAGUAUUCAAUUGUCAGAGGUGAAAUUCUUGGAUUUAUUGAAGACUAACUACUGCGAAAGCAUUUGCCAAGGAUGUUUUCAUUAAUCAAGAACGAAAGUUAGGGGAUCGAAGACGAUCAGAUACCGUCGUAGUCUUAACCAUAAACUAUGCCGACUAGGGAUCGGAUGAUGUUAAUUUUAUAAUGACUCAUUCGGCGCCUUACG